UCAAUACAUUUGUUGUGAAAA
ensembl:piRNA 21ur-1775 ncRNA